rnacentral:rRNA from 1 species
AUUGAACGCUGGCGGCAGGCCUAACACAUGCAAGUCGAGCGGAUGAGAAGAGCUUGCUCUUCGAUUCAGCGGCGGACGGGUGAGUAAUGCCUAGGAAUCUGCCUGGUAGUGGGGGACAACGUUUCGAAAGGAACGCUAAUACCGCAUACGUCCUACGGGAGAAAGCAGGGGACCUUCGGGCCUUGCGCUAUCAUAUGAGCCUAGGUCGGAUUUGCUAGUUGGGGAGGGAAUGGCUCACCAAGGCGACGAUCCGUAACUGGUCUGAGAGGAUGAUCAGUCACACUGGAACGGAGACACGGUCCAGACUCCUACGGGAGGCAGCAGUGGGGAAUAUUGGACAAUGGGCGCAAGCCUGAUCCAGCCAUGCCGCGUGUGUGAAGAAGGCCUUCGGGUUGUAAAGCACUUUCAGUAGGGAGGAAGCGUUGUGUGUUAAUAGUACACAGCGUUGACGUUACCUACAGAAGAAGCACCGGCUAACUCUGUGCCAGCCGCCGCCGUAACAC